UACGGAGGGUGCGAGCGUUGUCCGGAAUCACUGGGCGUAAAGGGCGCGUAGGCGGUCCGGUAAGCGCGUGGUGAAAGCCCGGGGCUCAACCCCCGGGUCGGCCGUGCGGACUGCGGGACUCGAGCACUGUAGAGGCGGGCGGAAUUCCGGGUGUAGCGGUGGAAUGCGUAGAGAUCCGGAAGAACACCGGUGGCGAAGGCGGCCCGCUGGGCAGGAUGGCUGACGCUGAGGCGCGACAGCGUGGGGGAGCAAACAGG
rnacentral:rRNA from 1 species